GGACAGUAUGAACUCUUUGCCGUGAUCGCACACAUGGGAAUGGCAAACUUUGGUCAUUACUGUGCCUAUAUUCGGAACUCUGUGGAUGGAGAAUGGUUCUGCUUCAAUGACUCCAAUGUUUGCAGGGUAUCCUGGGAAGACGUCCAGUGUACCUUUGGAAAUCAUAAUGACCGUUGGCGCGAAACCGCGUUUCUUCUGGUUUACAUGAAGGUUGAGAGCUAGUGAAUGCAUCCUCAACUUUCAGAAACCAUCCAAAUAUCAUUUCUGUUUUCUGUCCCUGAAAACUGCUGCUUGAAAGACUGUACAACGAGAUGCAUCAUUGUCACCCUAUGUCAUUAGACCUUGUGUUCAAGCAGGGGUGAGGAUGUGAUGUUUCCCCUCAGGUUCUUAUGCUAGAGGCUUGGUCUUCAGUGUGCCUGUGUUGAAUGGAUGGUAUCUUCAAGAGAUGGGUCCCAGCAAGAGGCAAUGAGCUCCGUGUGAUUCCUCCUCUUAUGAAUGGAUGGUUCCCUUCUCUUCUGCCACAUUCUUCUGCAGCUGGAGGGCCCUGACCAGGAUGGUUAGAGUGGUUGAAUCCUCCAGCCAUCAAAAUUGUGAACCAGAUAAUUAAGCAUCUUUAUAAAAUACCCAGCCUUGGGUACUUUGGGUAUAGCAACACAGAAUGGGUUAAUACGGUUACUAAGUAUUUAACAAGACUGCACAGGCCCUGAUCUGUCACAGUGGGUGCUCUCUCCAGGGGUCUCUGGUCACAUGGUUGAACUGAGGCACUAGGUGGGAGAUGGUGGGAUCCAGGUGCUCCUUGGAGGACAGCACUAGCACUGGGAGCUAUUUGGGUGACAGGGAGCAGUGGUACGGAGUAUUUCAAAGUUUAAAAGGAGUGUGAGCAUACUCUUGUGACCUGAAUGAUUGUCAGUCUCUAUAUAAUUUAUUAGUUUUGUAACUAUAAUUGAUUCCAUAAUUUCAGCUGUUGUUAUAAUUCUUAUUCAUUUGUGUGGCAAAAAUACAUGGAUAAUUUCUGUGAUAUAUUGUGCUGGGAAGAAUAAUGAAUAAAGUACUUUUCCUCAAAAGGA